rnacentral:rRNA from 1 species
AUGUGAUCGUCUCUCGCAUAUCAAUAAGCGGAGGAAAAGUCAACUACCUACGCUUAGGAUGUUGACGAGACUGUCGAUCUCAUCUAUACAUGACUCUGUGCAUAUCAAUAAGCGGAGGAAAAGAGGGCUAUUACCUACGCUUAGGAUGUUGAAGUCAUCGUAUCGCGCAUGCUCGAUCUAUACAUGACUCUGUGCAUAUCAAUAAGCGGAGGAAAAGAAACUAACAAGGAUUCCCCUAGUAACGGCGAGUGAAGCGGGAAGAGCUCAAAUUUGAAAUCUUAAAGGGUUUCCCUUUACGAAUUGUAGUUUAAAGAAGUGUUUUCUGUUGAGGUUUUGGUAAAAGUUCUUUGGAAUAGGACAUCAUAGAGGGUGAGAAUCCCGUAUUUGACCUUUACAUUCAACUUUGUGAUACACUUUCAAAGAGUCGGAUUGUUUGGGAAUGCAGUCCAAAAUGGGUGGUAAAUUUCAUCUAAAGCUAAAUAUUGGCGAGAGACCGAUAGCGAACAAGUACCGUGAGGGAAAGAUGAAAAGAACUUUGAAAAGAGAGUUAAACAGUACGUGAAAUUGUCAAAAGGGAAGCGUUUGACACCAGUGUUGUUUUUCUGAAAAUCAAUUAAAGAACUGUUUAUGCUAAGUUGUUUAGACUUUAUCAGCUAACUGUUUAGUUUUGAGCUUUUCUUUAAUGCACUUUUCAGUUAACAAGUCAACAUCAAUUUCUUUUGCUGUAAAAAAGCUUGAGGAAGGUGGCUUGAGAUUCGUCUUAGGUGUUUAUAGCCUCUUGCCUAUGCAGUCGGAGAGAUUGAGGUCUGCAGCGUAGAUCCUUCGGGGCUAAAUGCAUUUGUGCUAAGUUAUAGCAUUUUAUAGACAACUUGUUGACUAUGAUUUGUCUUGUAGCUUACUCGCUUAUGUUAUUUUACCUACGCUUAGGAUGUUGAAGAUAUGCGCGACACG